rnacentral:rRNA from 1 species
UACGUAGGGGGCAAGCGUUGUCCGGAAUUAUUGGGCGUAAAGCGCGCGCAGGCGGUUUCUUAAGUCUGAUGUGAAAGCCCACGGCUCAACCGUGGAGGGUCAUUGGAAACUGGGGAACUGGAGUGCAGGAGAGGGGAGUGGAAUUCCUGGUGUAGCGGUGAAAUGCGUAGAUAUCAGGAGGAACACCAGUGGCGAAGGCGGCUCUCUGGCCUGUAACUGACGCUGAGGCGCGAAAGCGUGGGGAGCGAACAGG